AGGACAACUUAGAAGUGGUACAGAAAAUUAUUUUCCGCUACUUUUUUCUACUAAAAAAUUCAAAAUAAGAUUGCAUGCCACCAACUUGUUACGAAGUUAUAAAUGACAGGUCAACAAUCUUUCGCUCUAUUAUAUAAUAAAUGUUGGAAACUGUCAGGAAUCUCUUACUUAUGGUAAUGGUCUGAAUGGCCUCACAGCUUUACGCAUGAAUUCAAAACGUUAAUACACACAUCCAGUAAAAUAAACAAAUUAUUUUCACUUACUCCAUUCACCCACUCGCCCGCUUUUCUGCUCCAUGUAAAUUUGACCAUACGAAUCAAAUGCAACAGUAAUACAUAUGGACAUCUGCAUAUUAAUUCUUAUAAAGAUAACUGAACAGUCUUCAAAAAUCUCUCUCCAAGAGUUGCUGAGAUUAAAAACUCACAGGACAAGAUCGAUUGCAUGCGCUCAUUAUAUUCCAAUCCAGGCAUGCAUUGAAUCAUGCACUUUGUAUGGGAGGAUUGAAUUCUAGGAUUCGAUCCUUGAUUGAUGAGUAUUAUAAAAAUAAAUCGAGUUAACCAUGAUAAUUUAUCGAACAUUAGUGAACAAUUAUCUUUGACAGGAUACAACAAAUGCUCUUGACCCGUUGGACCAACUGUUAGUGUGCAAAUGUUUAACGAAGUGGAUUCGGGUUUGAUAAAUGAAUUCAUAACAAUUCAACCAAAGCUUUAGAUUCGGAUUUGUAGUGGAGCGGAAUCCUCUAUAAUGUGAAGAGCAUGCUUGAAGCAAAAAGUAUCAGACCAGUGCUCGGAAUUUAUAGAAUUUAUAAAUUAAUCAAAUUAUUAUGAAUGAAUAAAAUGAAAUAUUGAUGUCAUCAACAUACUUCUCAGCGCAUCGGCCUUAUUUUAAAGUAUAUGAAGCACUUUGAACUAAAAUUUUCGUCUUGUUUCAGAAACAGCCAUAGAGGGGUCGUUUUUCGUCUUUAUAAAAGUUUAUAGAGGAGGGUUGUUCGGAAAUCCAUAUGAACUAUUUGAAAUUCAUUCUCAGCAAAAAGAAGCACGAUGGGGAGAUGAGAGUUCAAAUCAAUUUCUCUUAUAAAGUACUAACGCUCAAGAACGAUUUUCAUUUUUAUAGGAAUUUUCCCAUUCAAAACUCCUUAUAAUCACUUGUUGGAAACACGAAUAUUGCUGCUGGACAGUUCGAUCAAAUAGUUAAAGGUGCAACAUUUAAUCUUUUUUUCUAAAUCGGUCGUCCAUCAGAAGGUAUAAUCAUGGAUUAUAUGUUAUGUUCCUAUCCCAAUGAAAGCGGAAUUGCUGGAGAGUAUGGAGUCUAUGGGUGAUAUUUUUCUUCAUAAAAAACCUAAAAUGAAACAAUUUUA